rnacentral:misc_RNA from 1 species
UCCCUUUUAGGGGCAGUCUCGCUAGAGAAGAUAACUAGCGACAAGGGUUGCGCUCGUUGCGGGACUUAACCCAACACCUCACGGCACGAGCUGACGACAACCAUGCAGCACCUGUGUAAGCUCCCUUGCGGGUCCCUCGCCUUUCAGCUCAGUACCACUUACAUGUCAAGCCCUGGUAAGGUUCUUCGCUUAGCAUCGAAUUAAACCACACGCUCCGCUGCUUGUGCGGGCCCCCGUCAAUUCCUUUGAGUUUCAGUCUUGCGACCGUACUCCCCAGGCGGAGUGCUUAAUGCGUUUGCUGCAGCACUAAAGGGCGGAAACCCUCUAACACUUAGCACUCAUCGUUUACGGCAUGGACUAC